rnacentral:rRNA from 1 species
GACGAACGCUGGCGGCGUGCUUAACACAUGCAAGUCGAACGAAGUGGCGAACGGGUGAGUAACGCGUAAUCAACCUGCCCUUCAGAGGGGGACAACAGUGGGAAACGACUGCUAAUACCGCAUACUGAAGGAGGGGAUUGCGGCUGAUUAGCUAGUUGGAGGGGGAACGGCCUACCAAGGCGAAGAUCAGUAGCCGGGCUGGUAGGGUGAACGGCCACAUUGGGACCUGGACCCGGCCCAGACGCCUACGGGAGGCAGCAGUUGGGAAUCUUCCGCAAUUGACGAAAGUCUGACGGAGCAACGCCGCGUGAGUGAUGACGGCCUUCGGGUUUUAAAGCUCUGUUAAUCGGGACGCGGUACCGGAAUAGAAAGCCACGGCUAACUACGUGCCAGCAGCCGCGGUAAUAC